AUAGAGCUGCAAACAGAAAAAUAAGUCAUGGAGGCACCACUUCCUGUCAGAAGUUCAUCGUGUAAUCUAUGAAAAUGAGAAGGGCUAGGUCAUGCCCCUGUUCUUUACCAUCACUGGUAAGGUAGAAAGCCACUUCUUCACCCUAUAGAUGAAGGAGAUGGGUCUUGGAAAAGGUGACAGGUGAAUCUUUACUGACCUAUGCUAUGAGGCACCAUCUCUGAGAAGCACUUUUCAUAGAUUCUCUGGUCUGAGUCCUAAACAUUAAUUCUCUAGAAAUGUGAUCAUCACAUUACCCGUACAGACAGUUGUCUGACCCCUCUUUAUUCCAGCUGUGUACUGAGAGCUGAACUACAAGCUCCUGUUCUAAAGAAUCACUGGGUCACCAGCUCUGACCCCAGCUAUGGCAGAUCACUGAAGGAAGAGGAUGGUACAUGGCCGGCAACACAGUUGAGGAUGUGGAAGCACACCUAAAAUGCCUGCGUGUGGGAGGCUGAAACAUGAACCACUACAAGUUUGAAGUCAACAUGGAUGUCAUGGAAAGACCAUGUCCAAUGUAAAUAAAUAAAAGCAGAUAACAAUUAA